rnacentral:tRNA from 1 species
UCCCCGGUGGCUCAGAUGGUAAAGCGUCUGCCUACAAUGUGGGAGACCCAGGUUCGAUCCCUGGGUUGGGAA